rnacentral:rRNA from 1 species
UACGUAGGUGGCAAGCGUUGUCCGGAUUUACUGGGCGUAAAGAGCGCGCAGGCGGUCGUUCAAGUCGCGUGUGAAAGCCCCCGGCUCAACUGGGGAGGGUCACGCGAUACUGAUCGACUCGAAGGCAGGAGAGGGUAGUGGAAUUCCCGGUGUAGUGGUGAAAUGCGUAGAUAUCGGGAGGAACACCGGUGGCGAAGGCGGCAUCCUGGACCGGUAUUGACGCUGAUGCGCGAAAGCCAGGGGAGCAAACGGG